GUUGGUUAGAGCGCGCGCUUGAUAAGCGUGAGGUCGGAAGUUCAAGUCUUCCCAGGCCCACCACUUUCAUCGAGUGAGCAUUCGUCUUCUGGUUACGGGGCCAUAGCUCAGCUGGGAGAGCGCGUGCUUUGCAAGCAUGAGGUCGUCGGUUCGAUCCCGUCUGGCUCCACCAGAUGGUUUGAUCAUCGACAUCUCAACCGUCGUCCGCGAAACAUCACUUCGCACUUACUAGUCUGGAUAGACAGUAAGCUGCGUGUUUUCUGACAUCGUAAAGAGGAGAUCGAUCCGAGUUGGAUCGUGCAGCAAUCGUUGCGCGAGCCUUCAUUAUCUCCGGAUCAUUUCGGCGCUCGCUUUCAGCCGUGAGGUUGAUUGCGGGUUGUAAAUGAUCCUUUUAGCGAAGCUUGACCGCCUCGCUAUCGGAACGAUCUUACGAAGCAAGCUGGUCUUUCUAGUCAAUGUCCGGCUGCAGAUAGCGUUCAUCGAGGGCGCGUGCCGCGAGGCAGUUCUGCAGACAACAUUCUGCCGAGUGUGUGGACAUUGAUAAUGAGAGCAAUCAAGUGCCUUAAGGGUGUUCGGUGGAUGCCUUGGCGCUGAGAGGCGAUGAAGGACGUGCUACGCUGCGAUAAGCCGUGGGGAGCUGCGAAGAAGCUUUGAUCCGCGGAUUUCCGAAU
rnacentral:misc_RNA from 1 species